CAGAGGCAGUCACUCCAUUUUCAGGGAUGAGGAAAUUAACUUGUCAAAGCCUUGAGGGACAAGGAGCACAUUUAACAAGUUGAAUAGUUGAAAAAUAGUCACUUGGCUGUCAAGUCAUCAGAUUAUUUUUCAAAACUAAAUUGCAGUUGGUUUCGCGAUGUCUGUUCUCAGGGGAUUAAUGAGAAAGUUCCCAGGAUGACCAUGAGAUCACAUCCCUGUGGGGAGGCUGUCAAAGUAAAGACCACUUCCAUCUGCGGCUUCCUCAUAGAUUAAGUGUGUAAAUAUGUGAAGCCUUAAGACCCUACUGCAGUAAAUUAACUGAAUAUGACCGUGAUUAAUAACUGAUGUGUUUGUACUUUUGGAAAUUAAAGAUACAACAUGCAACAUUAAAUGCUGCAAUGAUCCCA